rnacentral:rRNA from 1 species
AACGAACGCUGGCGGCAGGCUUAACACAUGCAAGUCGAGCGCCCCGCAAGGGGAUCGGCAGACGGGUGAGUAACGCGUGGGAAUCUGCCCAUCUCUACGGAAUAACGCAUGGAAACGUGUGCUAAUACCGUAUACGUCCUUCGGGAGAACGAUUUAUCGGAGAUGGAUGAGCCCGCGUUGGAUUAGCUAGUUGGUGGGGUAAAGGCCUACCAAGGCGACGAUCCAUAGCUGGUCUGAGAGGAUGAUCAGCCACACUGGGACUGAGACACGGCCCAGACUCCUACGGGAGGCAGCAGUGGGGAAUAUUGGACAAUGGGCGCAAGCCUGAUCCAGCCAUGCCGCGUGAGUGAUGAAGGCCCUAGGGUUGUAAAGCUCUUUCACCGGUGAAGAUAAUGACGGUAACCGGAGAAGAAGCCCCGGCUAACUUCGUGCCAGCCGCCGCCGUAAGAC